rnacentral:lncRNA from 1 species
UUCGGCGGACACAACAUCUUUGAUUGUAUGUGGUGCUGAGAAUCAAACCCGGGCCGCACGCAUGCCAGGCGAGCGCGCUACCGCUUGAGCCACAUCCCCAGCCCUUAUGAAAAAUCUGUAAACCAAUGGGAGCACCGAAUGAGUAAAGGAAUUUUGAUCUCUAACACAUGUCUAACUGCUGAGUUCUGAAAGAGGGAAGAAAGCUGGUAGCAUCUGAAAGGAGAGAGAGGUUCUGUGGGUAGGAAGGCUCAGGACAGCUCCACAGGCAGGAGGAGCAGUGCUGCAUCCCGUUCAAGGUUAUAUCCAAGGUCAAUAUAUAACAUAACAGAAUGUUUGGGUUUGGAGGAAAUCAGGAGUCUCUUGGUUAUUCAC